rnacentral:rRNA from 1 species
AUACGUAGGGGGCUAGCGUUAUCCGGAUUUACUGGGCGUAAAGGGCACGCAGGCGGUUUUUAAGUCAGAUGUGAAAGGUACCGGCUCAACCGGUGACAUGCAUUUGAAACUGAAAGACUUGAGUAUUGGAGAGGAAAGUGGAAUUCCUAGUGUAGCGGUGAAAUGCGUAGAUAUUAGGAGGAACACCAGUAGCGAAGGCGGCUUUCUGGACUGUAACUGACACUGAGGCACGAAAGCGUGGGGAGC